CACAUGCCCAAGACAGACAGACUCUCCCUCAAGACACAAAGCCCACACUUAUUUGCCCUCUCCAAUUGGGUGCUACCAUGAAGAGGGGUGCUAAAAAUACACACACUCUAAAACUCACCUAAACACCAUACAAAUAUUAAGAUUAAUUAAUCCCCAGUUUUAUUUAUGCCCUUAUGUCCUUACCAUACAUUUACAAACUCAAUACAAUCUAAAAAGGACAUUAAACAAACUAAGUCUCUGGCACUAACAACCCCCCAUACAUAUCUCCCGGUGGAACCCUCCCGACACGAUAAAGAGGCUGCUGUUUCCCCAGGGACUCUUUUGCGCGUGCACCCUGGGAGUGGAGACAGAGCGGUACAGAUUGGUACGGCCAAAUCACGCACUGGCAACCAGACACACACCGAUCGCCUGCGGGGUCAACACACACACACACAUGAAUACAGGCUGAAUACAAUAAAAGAACUUUGCAUCCUU